GUGGAAUCUUGCAGCUGGGGUACGUCAGUGAGUUGUGCAGGUGUACGUCAUAUGGGCUAUACAUGAGAGGAGGUCAUACGUCAUAUGGGCUAUACAUGAGAGGGGGUCAUACGUCAUAUGGGCUAUACAUGAGAGGGGGUGAUACGUCAUAUGGGCUAUACAUGAGAGGGGGUGAUACGUCAUAUGGGCUAUACAUGAGAGGGGGUGAUACGUCAUAUGGGCUAUACAUGAGAGGGGGUGAUACGUCAUAUGGGCUAUACAUGAGAGGGGGUGAUACGUCAUAUGGGCUAUACAUGAGAGGGGGUCAUACGUCAUAUGGGCUAUACAUGAGAGGGGGUGAUACGUCAUAUGGGCUAUACAUGAGAGGAGGUGAUACGUCAUAUGGGCUAUACAUGAGAGGAGGUGAUACGUCAUAUGGGCUAUACAUGAGAGGGGGUCAUACGUCAUAUGGGCUAUACAUGAGAGGAGGUGAUACGUCAUAUGGGCUAUACAUGAGAGGAGGUGAUACGUCAUAUGGGCUAUACAUGAGAGGAGGUGAUACGUCAUAUGGGCUAUACA